UACGUAGGUGGCAAGCGUUAUCCGGAAUUAUUGGGCGUAAAGCGCGCGCAGGCGGUUUCUUAAGUCUGAUGUGAAAGCCCACGGCUCAACCGUGGAGGGUCAUUGGAAACUGGGGAACUUGAGUGCAGAAGAGAAAAGCGGAAUUCCACGUGUAGCGGUGAAAUGCGUAGAGAUGUGGAGGAACACCAGAGGCGAAGGCGGCGCCCUGGCUCGCAACUGACGCUCAGACACGACAGCAUGGGGAGCGAACGGG
rnacentral:rRNA from 1 species